rnacentral:rRNA from 1 species
CAGUCGCCGCGGGAAUACGUAGGGUGCAAGCGUUAAUCGGAAUUACUGGGCGUAAAGCGCGCGUAGGCGGUUACUCAAGUCAGAGGUGAAAGCCCGGGGCUCAACCCCGGAACUGCCUUUGAAACUAGGUGACUAGAAUCUUGGAGAGGUCAGUGGAAUUCCGAGUGUAGAGGUGAAAUUCGUAGAUAUUCGGAAGAACACCAGUGGCGAAGGCGACUGACUGGACAAGUAUUGACGCUGAGGUGCGAAAGCGUGGGGAGCAAACAGGAUUAGAUACCCCAGUAGUCCCUGUCUCUUAUAC